rnacentral:misc_RNA from 1 species
GUUUGGAUGAGACAUCCAAAGUAAGUUGUCAAUUAUAUAUUUCAGCAAGCAUCCAUGAGAUUCCUGUGGAACGUUGAGCCUUAUAUCUAGCUUUAAGAGUUCAAUAUGAGGUAUCACUUGUGUUGGAAUUCGUCCAAUUGGUAUGCUCCACAAUCUAUGUCCUUGUUUGCCCAGUUCAGAAAAGCUUGUCUGAGCACGAAUGAUUAAGGCCA